GAUGAACGCUGGCGGUGUGCCUAAUACAUGCAAGUCGAGCGAACAGACGAGGAGCUUACUCCUCUGACGUUAGCGGCGGACGGGUGAGUAACACGUGGAUAACCUACCUAUAAGACUGGGAUAACUUCGGGAAACCGGAGCUAAUACCGGAUAACAUUUUGAACCGCAUGGUUCAACAGUGAAAGACGGUCUUGCUUUCACUUAUAGAUGGAUCCGCGUCGCAUUAGCUAGUUGGUAAGGUAACGGCUUACCAGGGCAACGAUGCGUAGCCGACCUGAGAGGGUGAUCGGCCACACUGGAACUGAGACACGGUCCAGACUCCUACGGGAGGCAGCAGUAGGGAAUCUUCCGCAAUGGGCGAAAGCCUGACGGAGCAACGCCGCGUGAGUGAAGAAGGUCUUCGGAUCGUAAAACUCUGUUAUUAGGGAAGAACAAAUGUGUAAGUAACUAUGCACGUCUUGACGGUACCUAAUCAGAAAGCCACGGCUAACUACGUG
rnacentral:rRNA from 1 species